rnacentral:RNase_P_RNA from 1 species
GAAGUUCGCCAGGCAGUCGCUGCGCACCUCGCGGUGCGUGGAGGAAAGUCCGGGCCCCGCAGAGCAGGAUGCCGGCUAACGGCCGGGCGCCGUGAGGCGACGGAAAGUGCAACAGAGAGCAGACCGCCGAUGGCCGUCCGGGCUUCGCCGCCGCAAGGCGGCAAAGUCCCCCUCUCGAAGAGGGUGGUGCGAUCGGGCGAAAGUCCGAUGUAUCAGCCGCGGUCACUCCGGGCUUGCCCGGAGUGACCGCGGCAGGCGCGGCGCAAGCUGCGCCUGACGGCACAGGUAAGGGUGAAACGGUGCGAGAUCGCGCGAGUGCGACCGGCCGGCGCAAGCCGGUCGGGAGCGUGAGCGAGAUCUCGGGCGGGGCGAAAGCUCCGUCGUGUAAGAGACCACCGCGGGACUGGCAACAGGACCGGCACGGCAAACCCCAUCCGGGGCAAGGCCAAAUAGGGGAGCGAUGGCGUGGCUCGCGCUGCUCCCGGGUAGGCUGCUUCAGGGUCGCGGCAACGCGGCUCGCAGAGGAAUGAUUGCCCGGGCGUGCCGGCUAUGGUCGGCACGCCUCGACAGAACCCGGCUUAUCGGCGGACUUCCCCA